rnacentral:lncRNA from 1 species
CUGCUCGUCCGUCGUACCAAGCGCCUAAAGCAGAGCAGAGCGUACCUCUCUGCAAACGUAACCUCGCGGAUCACCCUUUGCUUAGAGGAUUCCGUUUCAUCGCUUCCGUUCUACCGGCGACCCUGCGAAACGUUUUAUUCUACGUAACGCAAUUGACAAUUCUUACGAAAAUAUUGAUAUACACGUGUAUGAGAUGAAAGAAAAAUAUGUAUACGUGUAACGGAGUGUGAAGUGGACUAUGAAACAUUAUCGCAACGAUGUGUCAAACGGUGAAGAAACUUACGUGAUGAAGUUGCGGUAUAGAGAAACGAAUUGAUAAUGAAAAUUAUCAAAUAAACGAGCGAUAAAAACUGAUCAUGAAGCUUCUUGAAAAAGAGGAUGACGAUGAAUAUUAAUACGUAAUCCAAUUUUUUUAUGAAUGCGUAGUUAGCCGAGGAGUAUUAUUACAACGUUAUCAUUACUACAAUUAUAACGUAAUUAAUACAGUGCCAAAAGUGAGACUAAAUUAUAAAGAUAAAACGGUAAUCGAAAUAAAACCAGAAAAUAAAACGAAGGAGGUGCAAAGAAAAAACCUGCACCACUGAUCUCGUUCUUUGAGCGAGUCAAAUAACAGGGGAGGAAAGUGAUACGGAAACUAAACCGUACAAUAAUCAAAGAAAAGGAGCAAAGGAGAAGAAAAAAAAAAUAAAUAUAUUUAGAAAAAAAAAACCUAAAACGAAAAAUUGAAAACAAGCACCAAACGCGAGGAAAGGAUCAUUAU